UACGUAGGGGGCUAGCGUUGUCCGGAAUCAUUGGGCGUAAAGAGCGUGUAGGCGGCCCGGUAAGUCCGCUGUGAAAGUCGGGGGCUCAACCCUCGAAAGCCGGUGGAUACUGUCGGGCUAGAGUGCGGAAGAGGCGAGUGGAAUUCCUGGUGUAGCGGUGAAAUGCGCAGAUAUUGGGAAGAACACCUGAGGCGAAGGCGGGUUGCUGGGCCGACACUGACGCUGAGUGCGCGAAAGCCAGGGGAGCGAACGGG
rnacentral:rRNA from 1 species